rnacentral:lncRNA from 1 species
AUUAAAAUAGUUAAAAUUUAUUUAAGUCAAGUGUUAUUUAGUUUCUUUUAUUAAUAAUUCUAUUUCCUUAAAGUAAGUAAUAAAUGUAUUUAAAUAAAUAUACAUUAUGCAUUGGAUUCCUCUUUUUCUUAAAUAAAAAAAACAACAAAACAAAUAAAUAAAUAAUAAGAAUCUCAACAAAUUCGCUAACGUCUCUCUCAUCUCAUUCCACGCAUUCCCUCAUUUCACUCUUCACGCAACUCUCCACUCACUCUCAC